UGGGGUGUCGUCUAAUGGUAGGACGCAGCGUUCUGGCCGCUGUAGUUGGGGUUCGAGUCCCUACACCCCAGCCA
rnacentral:tRNA from 1 species